AUCGGUGGUUUAUCGGGACGUUACCCGACAGGCCAAGGGAUUAUACCGUUUGAAGCACGUUGGAGCCCUCUGGAGUGGACUCGCGUACUUGAGCCGGUAUAAUUCAGGUUGGUUCUGCCACAGUUCGACCACCAAGACAUUGACACAUCAAGAGUGGCGCCAAAUAAUACUAUAUGUGUUGACCAACCUUGACGAGGUGGUGCCGUACAUGAAGCAAUUUAUUCAUGAAUUCUAGCAUCGAUCAAGGGAACCUACCCAACAGGAAUGUGAUACCCUUUUUAGCCAGGGUGCUAGAAAUGGAGCGCCCGAUUUCAUUCAUUAGUUCAAACAGCAGGGCCAUACGAUGAAUGCUAAGUUGAGACAGGUUGCCGAUGGCUUUGCCCUUAGGGUCAGGUCAUAUUCUGUUUAUGAUGUGAAUGGAUAUCGUUUUUGUACAGCAAGCUACGAGGCAAGUCGACCCAAUCGAAUGACCACAAAUACUGGAGUUUUUACUCCUGGCCUUGAUGGGUUCGAGUAUUAUGGAAGAGUUGAAGAAAUAUACGAAGUCAGUUUUUAUGGUUGCAAACCUCUUAAUCCUGUCAUAUUCAAAUGUCAUUGGUUUGAUCCUGAAGUAACGAGACGGACAUAUUCUAAUCUUGGGCUAGUGGAAAUUCGACAGGAUUCCGUCUUCCCUGGAGACGAUGUCUAUAUUGUGGCCCAACAGGCCAUACAAAUUUAUUAUCUCCCAUAUGCGUGCCAAACCAAAGAGCAUCUUAAGGGUUGGUAUGUUGUGCCCAAGGUAUCACCGCACGGUAAAGUACCUGUUCCAAACGAUGAAGACUACAACUUAGACCCAAACACAUAUGACGGAGAGUUCUUUCAAGAAGAGGGGCUAGAAGGGCGAUUUGAGAUAGACUUAACCGAAGUGGACAGAAUGGAUGUUGAAACGGUUGUUGAUGAGGAGGAGGAUGAGGUCCAAAAUGUGAAAGACUUACAAAUGCUAGAACGAUUAUAUUUAGUCAAUGCCAAUGACGACGUUGAUCCUUCGGAUACUGUUGAUUAUGAUUUGAUUGAUAGUGAUGAUGAGACUUAUGAUCCAGCUAAUCCCGAUUAUGAAGAUUAUUUUUAAUCAAUGUGAUUGAACAAAGAUGGUAGGCAGUGGGUUGAGGAGCGUUAGGUCGCUUUACCAGAGGGCUAGG